ACGGGAGGCAGCAGUGGGGAAUAUUGGACAAUGGGCGAAAGCCUGAUCCAGCGACGCCGCGUGAGUGAAGAAGUAUUUCGGUAUGUAAAGCUCUAUCAGCAGGGAAGAUAAUGACGGUACCUGACUAAGAAGCCCCGGCUAACUACGUGCCAGCAGCCGCGGUAAUACGUAGGGGGCAAGCGUUAUCCGGAUUUACUGGGUGUAAAGGGAGCGUAGACGGCAAGGCAAGUCUGAUGUGAAAACCCAAGGCUCAACCAUGGGACUGCACUGGAAACUGUCAGUCUUGAGUGUCGGAGAGGUAAGCGGAAUUCCUAGUGUAGCGGUGAAAUGCGUAGAUAUUAGGAGGAACACCAGUGGCGAAGGCGGCUUACUGGACGAUAACUGACGUUGAGGCUCGAAAGCGUGGGGAGCAAACAGGAUUAGAUACCCUGGUA
rnacentral:rRNA from 1 species